rnacentral:rRNA from 1 species
ACAUGCAAGUCGAACGAGAAUUAAUCCCGGUUAAUUCUAGUGGCGGACGGGUGAGUAACACGUGAGAAUUCGCCUUUAGGAGGGGGAUAACGGAUGGAAACAUUCGCUAAAACCCCAUGUGCCCUCGGGUGAAAAAGAGAAAGUAAGUCAUACUGAUUUAUCUCUGCCUGAAGAGAAGCUCGCGGCUGAUUAGCUAGUUGGUAGGGUAAAGGCCUACCAAGGCGACGAUCAGUAGCUGGUCUGAGAGGACGAUCAGCCACACUGGAACUGAGACACGGUCCAGACUCCUACGGGAGGCAGCAGUGAGGAAUUUUCUGCAAUGGGCGAAAGCCUGACGGAGCAAUACCGCGUGGGGGAUGAAGACUUACUGAGUUGUAAACCUCGGUACCCUAAGGAAGAAGAUAUGACGGUACUUAGGGUGGAAAGCAUCGGCUAACUCCGUGCCAGCAGCCGCGGUAAGACGGGGGAUGCAAGUGUUAUCCGGAUUUACUGGGCGUAAAGCGUCUGCAGGUGGUUUCUUAAGUCUACUGUUAAAUCUUGAGGCUCAACCUCAAAUCUGCAGUAGAAACUAGGAGACUUGAGUAUAGUAG